rnacentral:tRNA from 1 species
GCUUUCGUGGCUCAGUUGGCUAGAGCGUUGGUCUCAUAAUCCAAAGGUCGCAAGUUCGAGCCUUGCCGAGAGCA